UAUUUACUCUGAGUCUCUUUGUCCUUAUCUGUAAAAUGGGACUAAUAGCACCUGCUUUGCUUACUUUUCAGGUUUGUUUAGAGACUGGAAAAGUGAUAAUGCAUGGAAAUUCACUAAUACCUGGUAUGCCAGUUUGACCACAUACUCAGCUAUCUGAACUGACAAUCUGGAUUGUAAAUUGGGCAUGCUUACUUCAUGGAAGCCUCAUGUCUGAACUGGAUUUUCAUCCCAUGUGACUAAGUGGAAAAAUCUUAUGCUC